GACGAACGCUGGCGGCGUGCCUAAUACAUGCAAGUCGAACGCAGUUGCGAACGGGUGAGUAACGCGUAGGUAACUGCCUCAUAGCGGGGGAUAACUAUGGGUAACGAUAGCUAAUACCUCAUACUGCGAGAUGGACCUGCGUUGUAUUAGCUAGUUGGUGAGGUAAAGGCUGACCAAGGCGACGAUCCAUAGCCGACCUGAGAGGGGGGUCGGCCAAAACGGGAAUUGGUCAAGGCCCAGAAUCCUACGGGAGGCAGGAGUAGGGAAUCUUCGGCAAUGGAAGGAAGGUUGAACGAGCAACGGCGGGGGAGUGAAGGAGGGUUUUGGAUCGUAAAGCUUUGGUGUUAGAGAAGCGGUAACUAACCAGAAAGGGACGGCUAACUACGUGCCAGCAGCCGCGGUAAUUC
rnacentral:rRNA from 1 species